rnacentral:lncRNA from 1 species
UGUGUCCACGCUUCGAUGACACCUUUAUUUUAAAAGCUGUGAUGUUUGAAGGUGAGAAGGGAGCUUAGUGGUGAUACGUUACCGUUUCGAGGCGAUUCUUGAGGCAUUUCCAGAAGGAAAAGGAAGCUCAGCUCGGAAGUGAAUACACAGAAGUAACUAACUGUAGAGCAGUGACUAACCGUGGAGCGCUCACCGGGAACUUUGGGCUUGGUUUAGGUUGUGAGGAAUUCCUGUUUUCCUCCUCUCCUCCGCAAGCCUGGUUUCUCUUCUGUGCAAUGUACAGGAAUAUCGUGAUUUUGCAACUUUCUUAGCAGCAGAAUCUAUUUUUAACCUAAAUUCUAUCCCAGCCCCACGUAAAAGCAGCUAACAGCAACGAAUGGUUUCUUCGAUCCCUUGUCUUUUAUUUAUGCUUGUGUAUUUAAAAUUUUAUCUCUGGGGAUAAACACCAUCCUUUGCUGAACCCUGAAAACAUGACCAAAGAGCCGUGGAGCUUGCAGGGUUCUUUGGAAAUGCUGUGAAGAAAGUUGGCAACCAGGGAGUUUUCAAGAAAUUGUGAUACCCACGAUCUUAUCUGACCUUUGCACCUUUUCUUCUACAUUUAUUAUUUCUGUUGUAAAAAAUGGAGACAGGAAGGAACCACUUUUGAAUCCUGUAGCCACAGUUUUUAAAGUCCUUCUUGAGCUUUAGCGAUAGUAGGAGAAAACCAGAAGAGGCCAGAAAAAUCAGGCAGUCCUUAAAGCAGUGCAGUUUCUACAAGGGCAUGGCUGCCUUAGUAGCAGAUCUGUGUGUUAGGGAUGCUAAUUUGGUAGCUCUUGGGAUUCAUUAUUCAUUGAGCUGAACAAAUGGUAAGCACCUACUAUGCGGUGCUCUGUAUUUUGACGGUGUGACAGUGAGCAAAGCAGACAGUCGCUUCUCAUGGAAAUCGUAGUCUCCCUUGGGAGAGAGAGAGGCAAUAAAGACAAAUAGAUAAAACGUAUAACAAGCGAGUAGUGAGUGCAGAGGAAGGAGAAUGGGAUAUGUGUGUGAGAUGGAGGUGGCAGAAUUUGUCAUGGAAGGGCCCCACUGAGAAGGCGACAUUUGAAUGAUGGAGUUCUAUGUGUAUUUGGGGAAAUACUGUUCCAGGGAGAAGAAAAGCAAAGACCGAAAGGUGAGAAUAUUCCUGACAUGUUCAUGGAAUUAGAUACAGCCCAGUGUGGCAAAAGCUGUUUGAAGGGAUGGGAAAAAUCAAAGGCAAUUGUGUUGGAGAGUUUAGGGGUUGGAAGCAGGAUAGACCAGAAUGGACCCCUCCCCCCCCCCAUUGGCUCUUGGAAGGACUUUGGCUUUUAAUUUGAGUGAGAUGGUAUAUUGGUUUCGACUGGCAUAACACAGUACCGUAGAUUGGGUUGCUUAAAUAACAGAAAUUUAUUUCCUUACAGUUCUGGAAGCUAGAAGCUCUAGGAUCAGGGUGCCAGUAUGGGCAGCUUCUGGUAAGGGCUUUCUUCCUGGCUUACAGACCUUACAGUCUUUUCACUGUGUCCUCACUUGGUGGAUAGAGAACUCUGGUGUCUCUUCCUAUAAGGGGACCAUUUUCAUCUAAUCAGUGCUCCACCUUUAUGACCUCAUUUAAUUUUAAUCAUUUCCAAAAGGCACUAUCUCCAAUACAGUUAGCCGAAUUAGGGCUCUCACAUAUGGAUUUGGGUGGGAAGGUCACUUUAGUUCCUAGCAGAUGGCAAGUUAUUGGAGUGUCUGAGUUGAGGAAUGACAUGAUUUGACAUAUAUUUAAGACAUGAACCUAACUGCCUUGUAAAUAUACAAGAAGGUAAGUGGUGGGGCCAAAGAAAGAAACAAGGAGAUGUUAAGAGGCAACUCAGCAAUCCAAGAGGUGAUGGUAUGGCUUGGCCAUAAUGGGUAGUAGUGAAAAUGGGGGUGGGAGGGAAGUGGUUGAAUUAGGGAAGCAAUAGAAUUUUUUGAUAGAUGUGGAGGGUGAAAGGGAAUCCACCUUUGGCCUGAGCAACUGAAAGAAUCACGUUACUAUUUUCUGAGAUGGAGGAAAUGGUGAAUAGAGCAGGGUUGGGUAGGAGGCAUAUCGGGAGCUCAGUCUGAGAUAUCCGUUGGAGGAAACAAAUACAUGUAUAGCAAUUAAUAGUAGUCACUCAUAGAAAUGUGUAAUUGCAAGCUGAGAAGUUCUAGGACAGAGAGGAACAUAGUACAAUGAGAAUGCAAAAUACGGGGGCCAGACUUAGUGAGGGAGGAAGUGACUUUUCAGCUGAGGUCUGAAGGGUGAGAAUUUGCAGGAGUGGGGGGAGGGGUUCAAAAAAGAGUAAUAUUGUGGGCAAAAGCCCUCAUGGACUAAACAUGGCCUAAGGAGCUUGAGGCCAGUUUGGUUAAAGCAUGGAGAUUAAGAGACAAGAGUGAUAAGAGAUGACUCUAUUCUAAAAGCCCUAUACAACCAGUAAGGGGUUUCCAGGGAGGCAGAGGGGGACAUGACCAGAUUUAAAUUUAUUUAAAGUCUCUCUAGUGAUUUUGUGGCAGAAGAUUGUGGAGAGGGGCAAGAAUAAGAAAGGAUACAAUUUCAGUAAUCUAGGCAGAAAAUGAUAGCAGUACCACUAGCUAACGUUUAUACGGAACUUGUCCUAGAUUCUGUGCUCGACUCUGCAUUCAUAAUCUUAUUUCAUUCUUACAGCAACACUAUGAAGAAAAUCCUAGCAUUGCCCCCAUUUUACAGAUGAAAAACUUGCUUAAGGGAAAAAAAUGGUUAAGUAACUUGUCUGAGGUCACUCAGCCAAAAUGCAUAUUUGAAUUCAGGGAGAUGUCUUCACUAAUCAAGCUUUGCUCGUUUGGAUUGUGUGGGAUGCACGGGAGAUGACGAAGGGGAAAAUUUGAGAGGUACUUAAGAGGACUUAGAAAUGGGUUUAAGGAAUGAAAGAGAAUAAAGUAUGCAUUUUCUAACUUUGUGUACCUGGGGUUAGAUGAUGGUGACAUGAGUGAGGAAAUGAACAUUCUAAAACUAGGUUUGGAGAUGACUAUGAGAAAUUUGGUCUAGAGCAUAUUGUGGCUGAGAUACUUUUGAAACAUCUAAAUGGAAAAGUAUUUGGCUACAUGGGUUUUGGGCUCAUAGGAAAAGUUUGUAUGACAGAGUACAGAUGUGGGGAUCUUCUGCAAGUAGACCCCAUGGACACAAAUAAGAUCACUUAGGGAGAUGGUGUAGAGCAACACUGUACAACAGAACUUUCUGCAGUGAUAGAAAUGUUCUAUAUCACUGCUGCCCAGUAUAGUAACCAUGAGCCACUUGUGGCUCUUGAGCACUUGAAAUGCCUAGUGCAACUGAGGAACUGAAUAUUUAAUUUAAUUUUAUUGAAUUUCUUAAGUAGCCCCCUGAACUAGUAGCUACCAUAUUGAACAACGUAGAUAUAAUAGGGCUCAAAAGAAGGCCUAGAGUCCAGCCUUGUGUAAUUCCAACAUGUAAAGACUAGAUAAAAAGGAGGAGUGGCCUGAAAGUUGAAAAGAAAACCAGAUGAAGUCAUUCUUAAAGUAAGAUUAGCUGUAUUAAACUGGGCCAAGAGAUGGAGACAGAUGAAAAGUAGUAAUAGAUUGAAUUUAGUACCAUGUAUUAGCCAACAUAAUGGGAGGGUAACGGUGGGGAGCAAGGGUUCCAGGAGAUGUAAUCAAACUGUGCAUGUGAAACUUGUAGAAACACUGUCAGGAUACAACAUUUGUUUAUUAGAUUUACCGUGUGUCAAUUUAGAGACUAACCAUCAGGAGAACAGACUGCUUGUCAAGUGCCAUGAGGGAGUACUCCAAUCGUUUUGCUCAUUUUCCCCUUUUGUCAGAAAGUUAGCCUGUGGCAUUUGUAUGUGCAAUGUAUUUGCUAGUGUGUAGUGAAUGUACUUAGAAUUUUAGGACGAGAAGAGACUUAGGUUAUUAUUCCAAGCCUCUCAGUUAACAAAUGCAAAAAAUCCUAAAAGGAGGCAUAGAUUAUGUUAGACCUACAACUCUUCAUACCUGCAGCUUUAGAAUAUGUGAGAUACAAAGCCAUGUGGAGCCUUUGAAAUCAGCCUUUUUUCUUUUUUUUUUUUUUACAGUGGGUUUUACUUGAAUAUAUUGUGUGUCCUCACAUUCUACGUGGUUUUUGGUUUUUCUUUCUUACUGGCUGUCAUUCUGCAUACAGAUUAGGCCAGUGGUAUUUCUCUUGACAAAUAAAGUAAUUAUCCUAUUAUGGGCGAAAAAAAAGUUACCCUAGAGAAGCUUGUUUAUGCUGUAAAUGUCAUAAUUUUGUUUUCUUACUCAAGUCCCAAUCACAUUCUUAUUUAAAAAUUUAUAUUUGUAAGUUAUAUCUUUCAAAAAAGAGAGCUCAAGGUUUUAUUGAGUUUAAAUCUUAUCCCAGCUAUAAGCCUAUAACACAUUUAAAAUAAACCUGGUCAAAAUCUUUUUUUCAUUCCCCAUUUCCACCUAUGAAUACAUGUAUUUAUCAUAAAACUAAUCAAGGAAAUCCCUUUCACUCAAAUUUUGUAUUGAAAAAGUUAUUUUUCUCUCUGUACUGAUUUACUUUUAAUACUUGUAACUCUGCAGGUGGUGAACAUUUGCAAACUUUGAAGUUCAAAAUUGUUACCAAAUAGUAAUAUAUGAAGGAAAUACUUUUACAGAAUAGUGUAGUGGUUACAAGCAUGCUCUUAGCCAAACUUUGGAUUUGACUCUUAGCUUCAAGCGCACCUUGUCGUGUGACUGGGGCUAGUGUGACCCCUGUGCCUCAGAUUUCUCCUUUGUAAAUAGGGAUAAUAAUGGUAGCUAUCUCCUAGACUUAUGAGGAUUACAUUAAUUGCUACCUGUAUGGUGCUUAGAACAGUGCCAGACACAUGGUAAGCCCUACUAUAUACAAACAUUAAAUAUUCCAUUCAAAAAUAAGAAACAGUAGUAAGUUGAAACUUUUAAAUUGCAUCUUUUUUUAUGGAUGUGUCCUGUUUAUUUUUAAAAUUUUGUUUUUGGGAGGCAUUUAAGUGAUUUUUAGUUUAGUUUUUUUUUUUUUUUUUUAAUGUUUAUUUAUUUUUGAAGGAGAGAGAGAGACAGAGCUUGAGUGUGGCAGGGGCAGAGAGAGGGAGACAGAAUCUGAAGCAGGCUCCAGGCUCUGAGCUGUCAGCACAGAGCCCAACCCGGGGCUCAAAAUCACGAGCUGUGAGAUCCUGACAUGAGCUGAAGUCUUAAAGCUUAACUUCUUAAGGCUUAACCGACUGAGCCACCCAGGCGCCCUCAGAGUUUGUAUAGUUUUAAAGCAUUUGUUAGUAACAUUUUGCUGCCACUUAUUUGAAAGAUGGAAUAACACCCUAGGCUGAGGAUUUAUCCUGUAUUCACCUUAAGUCCAUUUUUUCCUCCUACUGGGUGGGCCCUUUUAAAACUAACUGUUUGUUACUAAAACCAUUGUAUACUAAAUAUAUUACUAAAGUAUGCUAUAGUGAUGUUUUGUCUGUAUUCACUGUGUUUACUCUACUUUCAAAAUAAUAGAAUUUAAUAGCAUUACACACCAACACUUAAAAAAUACACACAGGGCGGGGGCAGGGGGGUGCAGCCUGGAUGGUUCAGUUGGUUGAGCGCCCAACUUCAGCUCAGGUCAAGGUCUUGAGAUUUUUGAGUUCAAGCCCCACGUCAGGCUUGCUGUGCAGAGCCUGUUUCACAUCCUCUGCCUCCCUCUCUCUCUCCGCCCCUCCCCUGCGGUGCAUGUGCCCAUGCUCUUGCUCUCUCUCUUUCGCUCUCUCCCAAAAAUAAAUAAACAUUUUUUUUAAAAAAUACACACCUAGAGGUGCCUGGGUGGCUCAGUUAUUGAGUGUCUGACUCUUGAUUUUGGUUCAGGUCAUGAUCUUGUGGUCGUGGAAUCAAGCCCCAGCUGGAGCUCCAUCCUGAGACUGGAGCCUGCUUAAGAUUCUUUUUCUCCCUCUCCCUCUGCCCCUCCUUCCACCUCUCUUCCCAUCUGUCUCUCAAAAAAAAAAAAAAAAAAAAACCAAAACAAAACAAAAAAAACAACCUUGUUAUUUAGUUUAAUUGCCUCCCCCCCCAUGGAGUCAAAUAUAAUAAUGUAUCCCAUAGCUAAAUUCCAUAUCUAUAUUCCCUUCAUUUUUAAUGAAAAAUGUCUAAUUUUUUAUCUUCUAUUAUAUUCAUUAAUGAUUAAUCCAUUUCAUUUUCAAAAAACUGUAAGAAUAAUUGAGAUAUGGUUUUAUAAUUGUUUAGGAUGCCUGAAAUCUAAGACCAUAAACAUGGAAGGGAACUCCGGGUGCUUGGAUGGCUCAGUCACUUUAGUGUCCAACUCUUGAUUUUAGCUCAGGCCAUAAUCUCACAGUGUGAGAUUGAGCCCCACAUCAGGUUCUGCCCUGGGUGUGGAGUCUGUCUCUCUCUCUCUCUCUCUCUCCCUCUCUCCCUCUCUCCCUCUCUCCUUCCCUUUCUCUGCCCCUCCCCCACUCACAAUAAAUAAAUUAUUAAAAAUCUUAAAAACAAUCAUGGAAGGGAUCUUAAGGAUUAUGUAGAAAGCCCCUACUUUGAAAAAUAGAAUAGUUAUUCUACCAUUACACACACACACACACACACACACACACACACACACACACACACAGAAAACACUUUUUUAAAAAAAUGUUUAAUCUUUAUACCCAACAUGGGGCUUGAACUGACAACUCUGAGAUCAAGAGCCACAUGCUCCACUGACUGAGUCAGCCAGACCCCCCCCCCAAAAACGUUUUUUUCUUUAGUAACAUAUUUUAAUGAUUCCAAGUUCUUACAGCCAUAAUAUUAGACAUGUAAUACACACUCAAAUAUAUUAUUUAAGAACAGGACAUUCUUCCUAAUGGCUAAACUAAAUUAUUCUUCUAAUAAUUCAAAGUUUUUGCCUCUUGUCCUAUUCUUCAGGUGUUAUGGUAACCCAUGAAAUGUAAGGUUACUUUUUGUUUUAUUUUCUAAAUGAUUUCCUCUUACAUGUCAUUAUAGAGCCCAAUAUUUGAGUACAUAAUUAUUUUUAUUACUUUUCUCUGGGCCCUUUCCAAGUAAUUUAAUCUUCCUUUAAAUGUAGGCCAAAACUAUUAGGUUCAAUAUUCCAGUUAAAAAAACAACUGAUGAUUGUAAAGGUAAAGACAUAUUUUUAUAGUUGAAGUAAUUGUUUUUACUUGAAACUGGGCUUUCACAUCAGACUUCAGAUCUGGCACCAAAUGUCAACUCUUUUGAUUGGUCAAAAAAUGUUUUCAGUUUUUUAAGAAAUUUGAACUGAAAGUAUACUUCUAUUUCCACCAAUUUCCAAAGACAUGAAAUUUUGGAAUGUAAAUUAAAAAUUUCAUAUUUAUGAGGUCCAUUAAUUAGACAUUUUUCUAAUUAUAAAAGUAAUGUGUUUAAUAUAGAAGUCAUACGAAAUAUAGAAGAAAUAUACUUGUAAUGCAUCACCCUAAUAUAACAUUUACCUUUUGGUUUUAAACAAUUUUUAUGUCUUUUGUAAUUUUUAAAACUUACCAGUUACGUGAACAUCUUUCUGUAUACAUAAAUAUCUUGCAACUGUAUUAUUCCUAAUGGCUUCAUAAUAUUUCUUCAUUUGAAUUUAUCAUAAUUUACUGAAUCUAUCCUUUUUUUGAAUGUUUAUUUCCUUCCUUUAUGAAUAUAACAAACAAUACUGAAUUGCUUUGUGCAUACGUCUUUCUUCAUAAUUGAUUAUUAUUUCCUUAGGAUAAAUUCCUAGAAGUGAAAUUGCAAGGUAUGUGUAUUUUUAAAGCUUCUGGCAUACAAUCCAAAAUUGAUUUUCCAAAGCUUUUAUCAGUGUAUUUUUCUAUCAGCAUUCUACUUGAGUGCCUGUUUCCCUCCACCCUUACAAAUUCUGAGAAGAAUCUUCUUAUCUUUGUCAAUCUGAUCAGCAAAAAAUGGUUUAAUUUUCAGAUCAUUGAUUGCUGGUGAGGGUGAACUUGUUAAAGUUUAUUAAUCUUAUAUACAUAUAUCUGAAUUGCCUCUUGAUAUCUAUAGUAGACUGUUGAUGUAUCCUGGAAGUCUGGCUUCCAUCCUGCAUUUUUGUGGUAAUAGCAUAUAAAUACAUUUUUUUUUUUUUGCAGGGUAUGGGAAUGACUGCUCUGUGCAGUUUUGAAGGAUAUAAUAUUCAAGGACCUUGCCUACCCCAGCCAAUUGUGAGCACAUUAACAAAUGUACCAUCUGGCUCUCCCAAGAGUUUUGACUUUUGAAUGAUGCAAAGUCAGAAAAUAAGUCCAGUUGCUAGGACUAUUAGCUGCUCAUGCCUCAGUGCCUCCCUCUGGAGAGAACUGCCUUGCCUGGGAGCAGUCCAAAGUCCAAGGCCGGACUAGCUAAAGGGACAGUACUAAAGCCACCAUUCUAUUUGGGACUCUAAUGAGCACCCUGUAGGACUGGCUGAGACUUCAGCUGCAUCCUCACUGUGCGUCUGCUUCUCCCUCUGCCCAGUCCUGCCUUCCUCAUUUGAUUGAGGGUGUAUCUCCUGAGAGCACUUCCCAGCCAACCUUCUCUUUGC